rnacentral:rRNA from 1 species
UACGUAGGGGGCUAGCGUUGUCCGGAAUCAUUGGGCGUAAAGAGCUCGUAGGCGGCUUAGUAAGUCGGGUGUGAAACCUCCAGGCUCAACCUGGAGACGCCACCCGAUACUGCUGUGGCUAGAGUCCGGUAGGGGAGCGUGGAAUUCCUGGUGUAGCGGUGAAAUGCGCAGAUAUCAGGAGGAACACCAGCGGCGAAGGCGGCGCUCUGGGCCGGUACUGACGCUGAGGAGCGAAAGCGUGGGGAGCAAACAGG